CAGCAGCCGCGGUAAUACGUAGGGUCCGAGCGUUGUCCGGAAUUAUGGGCGUAAAGGGCUCGUAGGCGGUUUGUUACGUCGGGAGUGAAAACUCAGGGCUCAACCCUGAGCGUGCUUCCGAUACGGGCAGACUAGAGGUAUUCAGGGGAGAACGGAAUUCCUGGUGUAGCGGUGGAAUGCGCAGAUAUCAGGAGGAACACCGGUGGCGAAGGCGGUUCUCUGGGAAUUACCUGACGCUGAGGAGCGAAAGCAUGGGGAGCGAACAGGAUUAGAUACCCUGGUAGUCCAUGCCGUAAACGUUGGGCGCUAGGUGUGGGGACCUUCCACGGUUUCCGUGCCGCAGCUAACGCAUUAAGCGCCCCGCCUGGGGAGUACGGCCGCAAGGCUAAAACUCAAAGGAAUUGACGGGGGCCCGCACAAGCGGCGGAGCAUGCUGAUUAAUUCGAUGCAACGCGAAGAACCUUACCUGGGUUUGACAUAUGCCGGAAAGCUGCAGAGAUGUAGCCCCCUUUUGGUCGGUAUACAGGUGGUGCAUGGCUGUCGUCAGCUCGUGUCGUGAGAUGUUGGGUUAAGUCCCGCAACGAGCGCAACCCUCGUUCUAUGUUGCCAGCACGUAAUGGUGGGGACUCAUAGGAGACUGCCGGGGUCAACUCGGAGGAAGGUGGGGAUGACGUCAAGUCUUCAUGCCCCUUAUGUCCAGGGCUUCAAGCAUGCUACAAUGGCCGGUACAAAGGGCUGCGAAACUGCAAGGUGGAGCGAAUCCCAAAAAGCCGGUCUCAGUUCGGAUUGGGGUCUGCAACUCGACCCCAUGAAGUCGGAGUCGCUAGUAAUCGCAGAUCAGCAACGCUGCGGUGAAUACGUUCCCGGGCCUUGUACACACCGCCCGUCACGUCAUGAAAGUCGGCAACACCCGAAGCCAGUGGCCCAACCGUUUACG
rnacentral:rRNA from 1 species